rnacentral:rRNA from 1 species
AGCGUAGGCGGACUUUUAAGUGGGAUGUGAAAUACCCGGGCUUAACCUGGGUGCUGCAUUCCAAACUGGAAGUCUAGAGUGCAGGAGGGGAAAGUGGAAUUCCUAGUGUAGCGGUGAAAUGCGUAGAGAUUAGGAAGAACACCAGUGGCGAAGGCGACUUUCUGGACUGUAACUGACGCUGAGGCUCGAAAGCGUGGGGAGCAAACA